rnacentral:rRNA from 1 species
CCUACGGGAGGCUGCAGUGGGGAAUAUUGCACAAUGGGGGAAACCCUGAUGCAGCGACGCCGCGUGAGUGAAGAAGUAUCUCGGUACGUAAAGCUCUAUCAGCAGGGAAGAAAAUGACGGUACCUGACUAAGAAGCCCCGGCUAACUACGUGCCAGCAGCCGCGGUAAUACGUAGGGGGCAAGCGUUAUCCGGAUUUACUGGGUGUAAAGGGAGCGUAGACGGCAGCACAAGUCUGGAGUGAAAUCCCGGGGCUUAACCCCGGAACUGCCUUGGAAACUGCGCGGCUGGAGUGAAGGAGGGGUAAGCGGAAUUCCUAGUGUAGCGGUGAAAUGCGUAGAUAUUAGGAGGAACACCAGCGGCGAAGGCGGCCUGCUGGACUGCGACUGACGUUGAGGCUCGAAAGCGUGGGGAGCGAACAGGAUUAGAUACCCUUGUAGUC